GAUGUAUAUGCGUUUGAAUACUCGCAAUAUAGUGAAAAACAUGGGACUGUGCUUCAUUUAACUGUUCACUAUUUUCUCCCCACAAAAGAAGCAGAACGCGUACUCGGUUAUACGGUAAUAUACCGGAAGUGGCCAUUGUGCGCAUGACGUUCUGGGAUAAAUCGACAUCAAAGGAUUUAUUUUGAUAUCAGUUACCUCUCGCCGGUAGUCGAGUAAAAUAUGUUAAUAAACAUGUCACCGUCCGGCUCAACUAUGGAAGAAAAGCUUUCAUCCAUAAUGGACGUACUUGCGAAAGCGGCUGUAUCUGAAAUUAGCCAACUGUUCUCGGAAGCGUCGGCUACUCUUCAGUUACAAAUCACUCAGAGCCGCGAAGAAAACGAAGCGCUGAGGACGAGGAUGAAGGAGAUGAGGAGUGAGCUGUUUUCUCUGCGGCUUCAAACAAGAUCGAAAGCAUCGGGUGCGGCAAUUCGUUUUGCUCUGACUCGUGACAACAUCUGCAAACCUGAGACUUCAUCACUGGGAAAUGGCCUAAAACCCCUGAUGGACCACAAGGCGGUUGGACAUUCCCCUUUUCAUUCACGAUCCAAAAGUGAGGCUUCCUCAGUUACAAGUCCAGCAGAGGAGACCCCAAACAUAAUUUUAAUCAGGAUUGAAGAGGAUAUCAGUGGAUGCAGGCCAGCAGGUGAGUCAUAUAUAUUGCAGCAUAGAGUCUAGGCUGUCUACUAGAUUCUACCUGCGCUAAAAGGCUGAUCCUCUAUUGGAAAAGCAUCAUGACCAGAGCCCUGAUAAAACACAAGUAAAACUUGGGAGUUGCAUUUCAAAGAUGGAAACAGUCAAGAAAGGGCCAAAGGGGUUCAAGACGGAUGCCACG
ensembl:lncRNA